UAGUGCGGGAAAGUUAAAAGUUAAAAAAAUAAAAGAAAAGGAAACAAUAAAAAUAAAAAUCUUCAUCUGGAUUUUCUGGAAUUGAUCGAUGGCGAUGAUUUUGCUUGCUGUUUAUCUCAUUAAACUACAAGACAGAUCUGAACUGAACUGAACAAACUACUCUUCUUUCAUCCUAUCCAUGGCUACAACGAUCUCGGUCUCAGCCUCUCUCAAUCUCUUCUCAGAUUCACAACCAUACAAAAGACUGCCUUUAAUUCUUUCACCCCCAAAUCUACAACAACCUUUCCUUUCUCUCCACAAAUCUUGCUAUUUCAACUCCAGAUUCUGUUUCUCCUCAAACUGCUCCUCCUCCUCCUCCUCUUCAACAACAGCAACAGAAACAGAAACACCUAGUGCUUCCACCACCUACUCCUAUAUUGAGGAUUCAUAUAAAACAGGGAGGUUCUUGAGCAAUGAAGAGAUUGAAAAGCUAAAAGCACUUCAAGAUUUCAGAUACUAUCAACAACUUGAAACUGGGUCUAUGUUGGUUAGGAUGAUGAAGCCGGGGGAGAUGGAUAUCACUGUUAAAUUGCUAGCAGAGUCAUUUGUUGAGUCCAUGUCGUUGCCUGUUGGUUAUGUGUCUUUGGUUUGCUACUUUGUGCAGCAGUACUUGACUGAAAGGCGAGCUGCAGUACCACAUGCCGUUACGCUUAUUGGGUUUUAUAAAGGGAAACAAGAGACGAAUGGUGGAGAAGAGGAGGAGGACCUCGAAGAGUUGGCAGGGACUGUAGAGGUUUGUUUUGACAAAAGGGGUGCUAAUGCUUCUCCUCCUACACCUACCCCUCCAAAAAAUGCUCCUUACAUUUGCAACAUGGCUGUUAAGCAGUCACAUCGUAGGAGGGGAAUUGGGUGGAAUCUUCUGAAGGCAAGCGAGGAACUAAUUACCAAGAUGAGUAGUAUGCGAGACGUGUACUUGCACUGCAGAAUGAUUGAUUCAGCCCCUUUCAACAUGUACACAAAAGCAGGUUACAACAUCGUUAAAACUGAUAGCAUAUGGGUCCUUUUGAUGUUGCAGAGGCGCAAACAUUUGAUGUGCAAGAAACUUUUAGUCUCAAAGAAUCCUUCAGAACUCAAUACUUCAGGCUCCGAUAUGGAAUUUUCUUCACAAAUGGAUACAUGGAAGUCAUGACACCUGUUUCCAAGAUUUGGAUUCUGGUCCAGGUCCUUCAGGGUAUAUAGUCUGGCCAGGUUGUGGUGAUCAUCCAAUUAGGUUGGUUUAGGCCUGGAAUUUGAUCUGAUGGUCCAGCAUCUCCUUGCUUGUAAUUUAUCAUAUUCAUGGCGUAAACAUAUUGUGUUACAGAUUCCCAUGUUGCAGAUACUCAUACACUAGAAACCUGUCCUUCCCAUCAGCACAAUAUCCAAUCAAGGAAACCAGAUUGGGGUGCUCAAGUCUGCUCAAGAUGUCAACUUCUACACGAAACUCCCGUUCCCCUUCAGCUUCUUUAAAUGUCGGCAGCUCCAUUUUCUUGAUUGCUACAACCUACAGAUUAGAGAAGAGGAGCAAUUUUGUAUGUUUUUCGAAAACUAGAGUGUCAUGUUUUACUGCUCUUUGUUCUGGUAUUUUACAUAAUAUAGGAACUAAAAUCGCUGCAAGUUUUUUAGAAUUAAAAUUGAAUGCAUUAGCUUUAUGUCUAUUUGGGAAA